AAUUUUGCGCAAUGGGGGAAACCCUGACGCAGCAACGCCGCGUGAAUGACGAAGCCCUUCGGGGUGUAAAGUUCUGUCAGUAGGGAAGAAUAAUGACUGUACCUACAAAGGAAGCACCGGCUAACUCCGUGCCAGCAGCCGCGGUAAUACGGAGGGUGCAAGCGUUGUCCGGAAUCAUUGGGCGUAAAGCGUUCGUAGGCGGCAUACCAAGUCUGGUGUUAAAGCCCGGGGCUCAACUCCGGUUCGGCACUGGAUACUGGUAAGCUAGAAUGAGGUAGAGGUAAUGGGAAUUCCUGGUGUAGCGGUGAAAUGCGUAGAUAUCAGGAGGAACAUCGGUGGCGUAAGCGCAUUACUGGGCCUUUAUUGACGCUGAGGAACGAAAGCCGGGGGAGCAAAUGGG
rnacentral:rRNA from 1 species